rnacentral:rRNA from 1 species
CUAGAGGUGUUAGGGUGAGGGGGGGAGUGCCAGGUGAGGGAGGGCUAGACCUAGCCGCGGCGCGGUCGGCGGCUGCAGCGGGGUCGCGACGGAGCGGCAGCGACGGGGCAGGAGCUGGACGAGGGACGGUCUCGGUGGGGAACAGAUGGAGGUGGAGCAGUCUGCGGAGCAGUAGUAGAGUAGGGGCGGCGGGCUUCGAGGAGGCGGGGCGGGGCUGCGGCAACUGGCAGCAGCGACCUGGUGGAGCGGCCUGGCGGAGGCAGCGUGCAGGGGCUGGAGGAGGGGCGCGGGGUGACGGUGAGGGGAUGUGGCACGCUACGGCCUCGGGUCCUCGGUCUGCGGUGGCAGCUGCUGCUGGGAUGAUGUAGCCUCCACGGAUGAUGAUGCACGUCCGGCGACCGCUGCUGGUCCUCGUCAAAUCCUCCUAGGGUCCGUCCUCCGUACGCGGAGAAAGCUAGACAUAGGGUCAAACACGAUCGGAAGAAUUCCGUCUAAACAAAUUGAAUACAGACAUGAGUCUAUAACAACGAAGGCGACUGAGCAGAUACUAGCUCGUGAACAUAAGCUAGGGAGUUCCGGGG